CUUCUACCAUUUUUGGUGUGUGUAGCUAGAUCACCUACCAGUGUCUAUAACAGCCUGUACAGUAAUAUGAGAUUGGGAGUGGCCAGAAAUGUUUUACCAUUUUGAGGAUUAGUGUGGUGAUGAUUGUACAUCUAUUCUGUUGCUAUAGUAUAUAGUUCUUAUUUUACUCUGAUACCUAUUGUUGUUGGAUUGUAAUAACUUCUUUGAAUAGGUUUUGUUGAUGCUUCGUAUGCAUAAGGU
rnacentral:lncRNA from 1 species